UCGAGAGGUUGCUCAAGUGAC
rnacentral:siRNA from 1 species